AUUCACUUAGUAUAAAAAGUACUUUUGAUUUCCAAUCAAAAAGUCUAAAUUUUAGAGUGAAUA
rnacentral:tRNA from 1 species